rnacentral:rRNA from 1 species
AAAACGGAGAGUUUGAUCCUGGCUCAGGAUGAACGCUGGCGGUAUGCUUAACACAUGCAAGUCGAACGGUGUCUUCGGACAUAGUGGCGGACGGGUGAGUAACGCGUGAGAAUCUGGCUUCAGGUCUGGGACAACCACUGGAAACGGUGGCUAAUACCGGAUGUGCCGAAAGGUGAAAGGCUUGCUGCCUGAAGAUGAGCUCGCGUCUGAUUAGCUAGUUGGAAGUGUAAUGGACUCCCAAGGCGACGAUCAGUAGCUGGUCUGAGAGGACGAUCAGCCACACUGGGACUGAGACACGGCCCAGACUCCUACGGGAGGCAGCAGUGGGGAAUUUUCCGCAAUGGGCGAAAGCCUGACGGAGCAAUACCGCGUGAGGGAGGAAGGCUCUUGGGUCGUAAACCUCUUUUCUCAGGGAAGAACACAAUGACGGUACCUGAGGAAUAAGCAUCGGCUAACUCCGUGCCAGCAGCCGCGGUAAUACGGAGGAUGCAAGCGUUAUCCGGAAUGAUUGGGCGUAAAGCGUCCGCAGGUGGCAAUGUAAGUCUGCUGUUAAAGAGUCUAGCUCAACUAGAUAAGAGCAGUGGAAACUACAUAGCUAGAGUACGUUCGGGGCAGAGGGAAUUCCUGGUGUAGCGGUGAAAUGCGUAGAGAUCAGGAAGAACACCAGUGGCGAAGGCGCUCUGCUAGGCCGUAACUGACACUGAGGGACGAAAGCUAGGGGAGCGAAUGGGAUUAGAUACCCCAGUAGUCCUAGCCGUAAACGAUGGAUACUAGGCGUGGCUUGUAUCGACCCGAGCCGUGCCGUAGCUAACGCGUUAAGUAUCCCGCCUGGGGAGUACGCUACGCAACGGUGAAACUCAAAGGAAUUGACGGGGGCCCGCACAAGCGGUGGAGUAUGUGGUUUAAUUCGAUGCAACGCGAAGAACCUUACCAAGGCUUGACAUGUCGCGAAUCUUCUUGAAAGAGAAGAGUGCCUUCGGGAGCGCGAACACAGGUGGUGCAUGGCUGUCGUCAGCUCGUGUCGUGAGAUGUUGGGUUAAGUCCCGCAACGAGCGCAACCCUCGUUUUUAGUUGCCAGCAUUAAGUUGGGCACUCUAGAGAGACUGCUCGGUGACAAACCGGAGGAAGGUGGGGAUGACGUCAAGUCAGCAUGCCCCUUACGCCUUGGGCUACACACGUACUACAAUGCUCCGGACAGAGGGCAGCAAGCAUGCGAAUGCAAGCAAAUCCCGUAAACCGGAGCUCAGUUCAGAUCGCAGGCUGCAACUCGCCUGCGUGAAGGAGGAAUCGCUAGUAAUUGCAGGUCAGCAUACUGCAGUGAAUUCGUUCCCGGGCCUUGUACACACCGCCCGUCACACCAUGGAAGCUGGUAGUGCCCGAAGUCAUUACUCCAACCAUUCGUGGAGGAGGAUGCCUAAGGCAGGACUGGUGACUGGGGUGAAGUCGUAACAAGGUAGCCGUACCGGAAGGUGUGGCUGGAUCACCUCCUUU